rnacentral:rRNA from 1 species
UGGGCGAAGCCUGAUGCAGCGAUGCCGCGUGCGGGAAGAAGGCCCUAGGGUUGUAAACCGCUUUCAGGAGGGAAGAAAAUGACGGUACCUCCAGAAGAAGGUGCGGCCAACUACGUGCCAGCAGCCGCGGUGACACGUAGGCACCAAGCGUUAUCCGGAUUUAUUGGGCGUAAAGAGCUCGUAGGCGGUUUGGUAAGUCGGGUGUGAAAACUCUGGGCUCAACCCAGAGAGGCCACUCGAUACUGCUAUGACUAGAGUACGGUAGGGGAGCGGGGAAUUCCUGGUGUAGCGGUGAAAUGCGCAGAUAUCAGGAGGAACACCAGCGGCGAAGGCGCCGCUCUGGGCCGUAACUGACGCUGAGGAGCGAAAGCAUGGGUAGCAAACAGGAUUAGAUACCCUGGUAGUCCAUGCCGUAAACGUUGGGCACUAGGUGUGGGUCUCAACCAACGAGAUCCGCGCCGUCGCUAACGCAUUAAGUGCCCCGCCUGGGGAGUACGGUCGCAAGACUAAAACUCA